UCCCGCCUUAUAGUUUCGUAACUGCUUAUAUUUGUCUUUGAGAUCCCUUCAAACUAUUCUUCACCAUCAUCAUCAUUGAUGCUACAUAUGCCUAACAUGGUAAUUGCUUAUGAUUAGGUUAAUUAUACCUUGACACUAAGGCAGAUCAACCAUGGUAGCCCUCUUUGAUGAGGUUGUCAACUGCGGCAUCUGUCAUAGAUUCCCUUCAACUCGAGACAAGAAAGAUCUUGAAUCCCUUCGCUUUGAUCUCAUGUAAUGUUCAGCUUAUUUCCACUGCAUCGUCCCAAUAGAAAAAAGAAGUUUAAACAGAUCAGCAAGGUUGUGGAUUAAGGUAUCGCCAACAUCAAAGAUCCAUGCAUCCUUGCCAUCACCUUUCGAAGUGCAGAAGCUGCUGAGAUAGAGCUGGCAUUAUUCGACAGCUCUUU
rnacentral:lncRNA from 1 species